rnacentral:other from 1 species
AUGUCCCUGCGGUGUUCGUGACGGACCCUUUUAAACCCACAUCUAUUAUAAGGGACGCCUAUCUCUUGGCGCGGAUUGCAGGCCUCCCCGCUCCGGCGGGACGUUGGAAGCAGCUAAACGUCAAGGCGGCGACCCACCUGCAUAUGCGUGCAGGUUCUAAUCGGGUCUGGCACGGCACAUGCGGGGCGAUA